CAUAGGUUAAUGAGGCGAACCGGGGGAACUGAAACAUCUAAGUACCCCGAGGAAAAGAAAUCAACCGAGAUUCCCCCAGUAGCGGCGAGCGAACGGGGAGGAGCCCAGAGCCUGAAUCAGCAUGUGUGUUAGUGGAAGCGUCUGGAAAGGCGCGCGAUACAGGGUGACAGCCCCGUACACAAAAGCGCAUGUGCUGUGAGCUCGAUGAGUAGGGCGGGACACGUGGUAUCCUGUCUGAAUAUGGGGGGACCAUCCUCCAAGGCUAAAUACUCCUGACUGACCGAUAGUGAACCAGUACCGUGAGGGAAAGGCGAAAAGAACCCCGGCGAGGGGAGUGAAAAAGAACCUGAAACCGUGUACGUACAAGCAGUGGGAGCACCCUUUGGGGUGUGACUGCGUACCUUUUGUAUAAUGGGUCAGCGACUUAUAUUCUGUAGCAAGGUUAACCGUAUAGGGGAGCCGGAGGGAAACCGAGUCUUAACCGGGCGUUAAGUUGCAGGGUAUAGACCCGAAACCCGGUGAUCUAGCCAUGGGCAGGUUGAAGGUUGGGUAACACUAACUGGAGGACCGAACCGACUAAUGUUGAAAAAUUAGCGGAUGACCUGUGGCUGGGGGUGAAAGGCCAAUCAAACCGGGAGAUAGCUGGUUCUCCCCGAAAGCUAUUUAGGUAGCGCCUCGUGAAUUCAUCUCCGGGGGUAGAGCACUGUUUCGGCUAGGGGGCCAUCCCGGCUUACCAACCCGAUGCAAACUGCGAAUACCGGAGAAUGUUAUCACGGGAGACACACGGCGGGUGCUAACGUCCGUCGUGAAGAGGGAAACAACCCAGACCGCCAGCUAAGGUCCCAAAGUCAUGGUUAAGUGGGAAACGAUGUGGGAAGGCCCAGACAGCCAGGAUGUUGGCUUAGAAGCAGCCAUCAUUUAAAGAAAGCGUAAUAGCUCACUGGUCGAGUCGGCCUGCGCGGAAGAUGUAACGGGGCUAAACCAUG
rnacentral:rRNA from 1 species